rnacentral:rRNA from 1 species
AACGUAGGAGACAAACGUUAUCCGGAGUUACUGGGCGUAAAGGGCGUGUAGGCGGUUUGUUAAGUCUGGCGUGAAGGCUCUCGGCUAAACCGGGAGAGGUCGUUGGAUACUGGCGAACUAGAGGACGGUAGAGGCGUGUGGAAUUCCGGGUGUAGUGGUGAAAUGCGUAGAGAUCCGGAGGAACACCAGUGGCGAAGGCGACACGCUGGGCCAUACCUGACGCUAAAGCGCGACAGCAUGGGGAGCAAACGGG